UGGCUUUAACAUUUAAAUCUGUUUGCUUAAUUUUAGGUGCUCAUGCUUCAUUUUCAGGUAUUCCAGUCUCCAAUAUGGAUGUUCUGCUUUUGAUUGCUUUACCUCUUGUUUGAUUUGGAUUUUGUCCAAAAGGUACCUAAUGGACCCAACCUGAUCUUAAUGCUUUCCUGAUGAUGAUAUUGAAGAAAUUGAAGAUUAUAGACUUGGGAAGGAAACUGUCGCAUCUCAUUUGGAUAGCAUUGAUCAGAGAACAAUGAAUCCUUUGCAAUCUAUCAUCCAUUGGGUUAUACACAUCACUACAAGAAAUUGACUUUUGUUGGCUGGCUUUAAUUAUUAUCUUUUGAAUCAUAAACUAAUUUCUAUCAGUUGUGUGGCCCAUUAUCUAAUAAUCUUCAGCAAAUAAAUUAUCUGUGAUCAUCUGCAGUACAUGAGCCCACUGGAUGAACAUGUACUCAAUGUACAGUGGGAGACUACAACUUUGGAAAAUGAGAGAUGGGUCUUGAUUACAUUUGCAUUUCAUGCGCUUUUCAGGAGUGAAGGCAUUCUACAUGGCAGAUUUCUUUGUAGCAGAUGUUGGUGACUGAAUUUUGUUCUUCUUUUAACUAUCAUCUCUUUACAAAAUAUAGAUUCUUACUGGUUGCUUGAAAUGCUUUUCAGUCGUGGGUUCCACUUGAGUAUCAUGCUAUCGACAGCUUACCAUGUUAUGUUGAAUGAGCACAGCUUACCAUGUUCUAGCUCUUUGCUUUUGG